GUGAAUCAUCGAAUCUUUGAACGCAAAUUGCACUCUCCUCGGAGAGUAUGACUGUUUGAGUUUCAGCCUAUAAAAAAUCGACAACGUUGCUGUUUCGCGGUGGCUUUCGUCGGAAAUUGGGUUAUCUUAUAUCCUUUUGGGUUUUAAGCGACUUAAAAUUUUAUUUUUGUUUCAAUGAACGGUUCUAAGAUUUAUUUUUUUCAACGUUUAAGGUAUCGAUUUUUAUUAGACGUGACGAUCAGAUC
rnacentral:misc_RNA from 1 species